AGUGAACGCUGGCGGUAGGCCUAACACAUGUAAGUCGAACGGCAGCACAGUAAGAGCUUGCUCUUACGGGUGGCGAGUGGCGGACGGGUGAGGAAUACAUCGGAAUCUACUUUUUCGUGGGGGAUAACGUAGGGAAACUUAUGCUAAUACCGCAUACGACCUACGGGUGAAAGCAGGGGAUCUUCGGACCUUGCGCGAUUGAAUGAGCCGAUGUCGGAUUAGCUAGUUGGCGGGGUAAAGGCCCACCAAGGCGACGAUCCGUAGCUGGUCUGAGAGGAUGAUCAGCCACACUGGAACUGAGACACGGUCCAGACUCCUACGGGAGGCAGCAGUGGGGAAUAUUGGACAAUGGGCGCAAGCCUGAUCCAGCCAUACCGCGUGGGUGAAGAAGGCCUUCGGGUUGUAAAGCCCUUUUGUUGGGAAAGAAAAGCAGCAGGUUAAUACCCCGCUGUUCUGACGGUACCCAAAGAAUAAGCACCGGCUAACUUCGUG
rnacentral:rRNA from 1 species